rnacentral:rRNA from 1 species
GGUAAUACGUAAGGUGGCGAGCGUUAUUCCCGGAAUGAUUGGGCGUAAAAGGGUGGCGUAAGGUGGCCUUAUUAAGUCUGGAGGUGAAAGGCGGCAGCUCAAACUUGCCGUAUGCUCUGGAAACUGUGAGGCUGGGAGUGCAGGAGAGGGGCGAUGGAACUCCAUGUGUAGCGGUAAAAUGCGUAGAUAUAUGGAAGAACACCAGUGGCGAAGGCGGUCGCCUGGCCUGUAACUGACACUGAAGCACGAAAGCGUGGGGAGCAAAUAGGAUUAGAUACCCUAGUAGUCACGCCGUAAACGAUGAGAACUAGGUGUUGGGGGAAUAACUCAGUGCCGCAGUUAACGCAGUAAGUUCUCCGCCUGGGGAGUAUGCACGCAAGUGUGAAACUCAAAGGAAUUGACGGGGGCCCGCACAAGCGGUGGAGUAUGUGGUUUAAUUCGAAGCAACGCGAAGAACCUUACCAGGCCUUGACAUCCCCUGCAAAGACAUGGAGACAUGUUGGAGGGUAUCAGGGAGACAGGUGGUGCAUGGUUGUCGUCAGCUCGUGUCGUGAGAUGUUGGGUUAAGUCCCGCAACGAGCGCAACCCCUGUGAUAUGUUACCAGUAUCAAGUUAGGGACUCAUAUCAGACUGCCGGUGACAAACCGGAGGAAGGUGGGGAUGACGUCAAAUCAUCAUGCCCCUUAUGGCCUGGGCUACACACGUACUACAAUGGCAUCUACAAAGAGCAGCGGCACUGUGAAGUGGAGCGAAUCUCAUAAAGGAUGUCUCAGUUCGGAUUGAAGUCUGCAACCCGACUUCAUGAAGUUGGAAUCGCUAGUAAUCGCGGAUCAGCAUGCCGCGGUGAAUACGUUCUCGGGCCUUGUACACACCGCCCGUCAAACCAUGGGAGUUGGUAAUACCCGAAGCCGGUGGCAUAACCGCAAGGGGUGAGCCGUCGAAGGUAGGACCGAUGACUGGGGUUAAGUCGUAACAAGGUAACCA